AGAGUUUGAUCUUGGCUCAGAACGAACGUUAGCGGCGCGCCUAACACAUGCAAGUCGUGCGAGAAAGGGCUUCGGCCCCGGUAAAGCGGCGCACGGGUGAGUAACACGUGGAUAACCUACCCUCAGGUGGCGGAUAACCUUCCGAAAGGAGGGCUAAUACGGCAUAAGACCACGAUCUCGCAAGAGGUUGAGGUAAAAGCAGGCCUCUGUAUACAAGCUUGCGCCAGAGGAUGGGUCCGCGGCCCAUCAGCUAGUUGGUAGGGUAAUGGCCUACCAAGGCAAAGACGGGUAGCUGGUCUGAGAGGAUGAUCAGCCACACUGGAACUGAGACACGGUCCAGACUCCUACGGGAGGCAGCAGUGGGGAAUCUUGCGCAAUGGGCGAAAGCCUGACGCAGCGACGCCGCGUGAGUGAUGAAGGCCUUCGGGUUGUAAAGCUCUGUGGAGGGGGACGAAUAAGUCGGAGCGAAUAUCUCCGAUGAUGACGGUACCCCUUUAGCAAGCACCGGCUAACUCUGUGCCAGCAGCCGCGGUAAGACAGAGGGUGCAAACGUUGUUCGGAAUUACUGGGCGUAAAGCGCGUGUAGGCUGCUUGGAAAGUCGGAUGUGAAAGCCCUGGGCUCAACCUAGAAGUGCAUUCGAAACUUCUGAGCUUGAGUAUCGGAGAGGAAGGCGGAAUUCUCGGUGUAGAGGUGAAAUUCGUAGAUAUCGAGAGGAACACCGGUGGCGAAGCGGCCUUCUGGACGAUUACUGACGCUGAGACGCGAAAGCGUGGGGAGCAGACAGGAUUAGAUACCCUGAUAGUCCACGCCGUAAACGAUGAGUGCUAGGUGUCGCGGGCUUUGACCCCUGCGG
rnacentral:rRNA from 1 species